rnacentral:rRNA from 1 species
GACGAACGCUGGCGGCGUGCUUAACACAUGCAAGUCGAACGAAGUGGCAAACGGGUGAGUAAUACGUGGGUAACCUGCCCUCCUUUUUGGGAUAAGCCUUGGAAACGGGGUCUAAUACCGAAUAAAGGGGGAUGGGCUCGCGGCCUAUCAGCUUGUUGGUGGGGUGAUGGCCUACCAAGGCGGUGACGGGGAGCCGGCCUGGGAGGGUGACCGGCCACAUUGGGACUGAGAUACGUCCCAGACUGCUACGGGAGGCAGCAGUGGUGGAUAUUGCACAAUGGGCGAAAGCCUGAUGCAGCGACGCCGCGUGGGGGAUGACGGCUUUCGGGUUGUAAACCUCUUCCGCUAUCGAAGGGGUAGGUGGAGAAGAAGCGCCGGCUAACUACGUGCCAGCAGCCGCGGUAAUUC